AUUGAACGCUGGCGGCAUGCCUUACACAUGCAAGUCGAACGGUAACAGGUCUUCGGAUGCUGACGAGUGGCGAACGGGUGAGUAAUACAUCGGAACGUGCCCGAGAGUGGGGGAUAACGAGGCGAAAGCUUUGCUAAUACCGCAUACGAUCUCAGGAUGAAAGCAGGGGACCGCAAGGCCUUGCGCUCACGGAGCGGCCGAUGGCAGAUUAGGGAGUUGGUGGGAUAAAAGCUUACCAAGCCGACGAUCUGUAGCCGGUCUGAGAGGACGACCAGCCACACUGGGACUGAGACACGGCCCAGACUCCUACGGGAGGCAGCAGUGGGGAAUUUUGGACAAUGGGCGCAAGCCUGAUCCAGCCAUGCCGCGUGCAGGAUGAAGGCCUUCGGGUUGUAAACUGCUUUUGUACGGAACGAAAAGACUCUGGUUAAUACCUGGGGUCCGUGACGGUACCGUAAGAAUAAGCACCGGCUAACUACGUGCCAGCCGCCGCAGUAA
rnacentral:rRNA from 1 species